GGAGCCUUAUUUCCCGCCCCCUGGUCAAGCCCAAGAAGCGUCAAAUCAACAACAAUACCAAUUGCCUCCUACUCAGCAGUCACUGCCUUCCGCCGUUGCACCAUCUCAUCCGACUCCUGCUGCACCACCGCAUCCGGGUCCUGCUGCACCACCGCAUCCGGGUCCUGCUGCACCGCCAAAUCUUGGUCCUGCUGCACCACCUCAUCAGCCAUAUAAUCUUGGUCCUCAACCACAAUACUCUCAGCCGCCCC
rnacentral:lncRNA from 1 species